GUGCUCGCUUCGGCAGCACAUAUACUAAAAUUGGAACGAUACAGAAAAGAUUAGUAUGGCCCCUGCGCAAGCAUGUCUUCUCUUCAUCAAGAAGCACUGUGCUUUCAG